rnacentral:rRNA from 1 species
GACGAACGCUGGCGGCGUGCUUAACACAUGCAAGUCGAACGGAAAGGCCCUGCUCUUGUGCGGUGCUCGAGUGUCGAAAAGGUGUGUAAAACGUGAGUACCCUGCCCUUCGCUCUCGGAUAUCUUCAUGGAACUGGGGCUCUUACCGGAUAUGAGCCCCUGCAGCAUGUUGUGUGUUGGAAGGAUUCGCCGGUUGGGGAUGGACUCGCGGCUUAUCAGCUUGUUGGUGGGGUAUAGGCUUACCAAGGCGUUGACGGGUAGCCGGCCUGAGAGGGUGACCGGCCACACUGGGACUGAGAUACGGCCCAGACUCCUACGGGAGGCAGCAGUGGGGAAUAUUGCACAAUGGGCGGAAGCCUGAUGCAGCAACGCCGCGUGAGGGAUGACGGCCUUCGGGUUGUAAACCGCUUUUGCCAGGGAAGAAGCGUAAGUGACGGUAAUUGGUAAAGAAGCACCGGCUAACUACGUG